GGCGCCACCAACACCGUCUAUUCCAGCCGACCAGCCCUAUGGAGCCCAUACCAAGCUCGGUGGAGACAGCAGCGUUCGCCGCAGCGGAGGCAACAACCGCGUCCAUGGGGGUGUGGAGGUGGCGGAAGAAGCAGCCGGCGUCGCGAAUUUCCAGCUGACGUACAUGGCCCUGGAAGGCAGCGCGGAAGGGAUACACGACCUCAUCGAUGCCUGCGCCGACGGCAACUUCCGCGGCAUAGACUGCAUGAAGAUGCAUAUCCCUGCCAAUGAGGAGCACGCACUGGUCGUACAGCUGCUCCUCAAGCGCGGCGCGGCGCGUUGGCCGUCGUGGUUCUGUAGGGGGCACUACACAGCCGCCUAUUUACCUUGGAAUGGUGCUGAUGCACAAGGUGAAUUUUGAUGCGAGAUAGAAUAUGACAUGAUCCAGGACUACAAGGUUCUCUAGGACGUGUUUCAAAUCUGGAGAUAAGCAAGGCACAACCUGUUCGAAGAAAGCACAGGAUGUUUUGAGGUGUCAGUCUUCCUCUUUGGGGACGCUCACACCCACUACUCUGUCGGCGCCAUUGGCAGCCAAGUCUGCAUGAACAAGGGGAAAAGGGUUCUUUCAUUCUCUGUGAGUAUUGUCUUUGAAGGGAAAUGAGUAUUGUAGAUGGGCGUCUCUGCGGAUUUCGGCAAAUCGGGAGAUGAAUGACGGGAUGGCUUGCACCAUGGCCACAAACAAGAUUAAGGGAUGAAUAGUACAAAGUUCAUUCAUGGGCGAGGAUCCUUGAAGAAAACAACAGGCUGACGGCAAAUGAAGAAGAAAACAGAACACCUUACGGACUCCCUCUUCGACAAUGAAGCUGAGCUCUCGAUUCCUUCCAACGCCGCUCCAGCUCUUGACCUCCCAACGCCGCGCUUGAUCCCGGACGACAAAACAAAACUCGCUCCAGUUGACAACCUCCCCACACCAAAAAUGGAACUGGCCUUCACUCUCUCCUCAGACAACAAAGCCAGCAAUGCUGGACACUGACAGCUUGAAGAAAAAGGAACACAAGUACCACCGUCUUAGCAUGAUAUCCGCUAUGUAGCAAUCUACUGUAUUAUUAUAACUGGCCAAUAUACCGCUUUUGGUACUCAAUCCUAUG